AUUCGAGUUAAUUUUCUUUUUUUUAUAUCUACUUUUGUUUAUCUUCCAACGUGGACGUAGAAGAAUCUAAUUUGUUUGGUUUAGAACAUUUUCGGCAAUUAUAAAUGAGUAUAAAGUAACGUUGUUGUAAUAGAUUCGUGGUUAGCUUCUAUGCAUAAUGAAAUUGUCGAAAACGUCGUUAGAAUGAUUUGCAUCGCGUACAAUAGUUUUACGGGACGUCGUUGAAAGACUAACAGGUUAACAAUGCAACAUCGUGGUACGCGAGUGAACCGGGAGUGUUGUGUACCGAUAGAAAAGAAAGGAAGAAAGAAGAGAGGGGAAAAAGGGAGGGAAGAGAGUGUCAUUCAAAAAUACUCCAGUACGAGUAAUAACCAGGCAGUAGUCAACGUUACUUUCCGGAUGUAUGCAUCAGUGCCACGUUUACGAUCAUAAAUGUCUUCUUGAUAGAGUAUCGCUGGAAUAAAACCGGAGAUUCGCACACUUUCACGGAUAACGGCCUCGAUAGAUUACUCCGUGGAACUCGAGACCUUUUCGUAUCUCUUCCGGAGUUACUCUUACUAUGUGCAAGAAAAAGAAAGAGAAAGAGAAAGAGAGAGAGAAAGAGAGAGUAAAAAUGCUUUUUGAAGCAUCGAAGAUAUUAGAAGGGCGUAUGUAGUGAAAAGUAAAAUUGAUUUUCUCGUCGCGUCACAUCUGCUGGUGUUCUUCAAAAAAGUAAAAUAAAAUAAAAAAUAAGAGAAAAAAAAA
rnacentral:lncRNA from 1 species